rnacentral:rRNA from 1 species
AGAGUUUGAUCAUGGCUCAGAACGUACGCUGGCGGCACGCCUAACACAUGCAAGUCGAACGAAGUAGCAAUACUUAGUGGCAGACGGGUGAGUAACAUGUAGGUAUCUACCCUUUGGCCUGGAAUAACACGAGGAAACUUGUGCUAAUACCGGAUAAGUCUUUACGGAGAAAGCUUUAUGCACCAUUGGAUGAGCCUGCACUUGAUUAGUUUGUUGGUGGGGUAAUGGCCCACCAAGACUGUGAUCAAUAGCUGAUUUGAGAGGAUGAUCAGCCACAUUGGGACUGAGACACGGCCCAAACUCCUACGGGAGGCAGCAGUGGGGAAUCUUGCACAAUGGAGGAAACUCUGAUGCAGCGAUGCCGCGUGAGUGAAGAAGGCCCUUGGGUUGUAAAGCUCUUUCGUCGGGGAAGAAAAUGACUGUACCCGAAUAAGAAGGUCCGGCUAACUUCGUGCCAGCAGCCGCGGUAAUACGAAGGGACCUAGCGUAGUUCGGAAUUACUGGGCUUAAAGAGUUCGUAGGUGGUUGAAAAAGUUGGUGGUGAAAUCCCAGGGCUUAACUCUGGAACUGCCAUCAAAACUUUUCAGCUAGAGUUUGAUAGAGGAAAGCAGAAUUUCUAGUGUAGAGGUGAAAUUCGUAGAUAUUAGAAAGAAUACCAAUUGCGAAGGCAGCUUUCUGGAUCAUUACUGACACUGAGGAACGAAAGCAUGGGUAGCGAAGAGGAUUAGAUACCCUCGUAGUCCAUGCCGUAAACGAUGUGUGUUAGACGUUGGAAAUUUAUUUUCAGUGUCGCAGCGAAAGCGAUAAACACACCGCCUGGGGAGUACGACCGCAAGGUUAAAACUCAAAUGAAUUGACGGGGACCCGCACAAGUAGUGGAGCAUGUGGU